rfam:Phenylobacterium sp. RIFCSPHIGHO2_01_FTLL_69_31 rifcsphigho2_01_scaffold_150, whole genome shotgun sequence.
GGUGACGUGGCCGAGUGGCUGAAGGCAACGGUUUGCUAAAUCGUCAUACUCGAAAGGGUAUCGAGGGUUCGAAUCCCUCCGUCACCG